rnacentral:lncRNA from 1 species
CCGUCUCCAUCAUUGUUCAUGUACUCUUGCUCUUCCGUGCACCGUGUGGAUCGCCGAUGACUCCGCCUGGACUUCUCGGGUCUCUUGGUCUAAGCCUAUUCAUGUCCACCCUUCAUAGCCCUAGUACAUCAGCAUGAACCUUUCACUUGACCUUCACCUCAUGCUGCCAACCGCCAUGUCGCAUCCAACACUUGCACAUCACAAGCCAAGAGACACAACACACAACAUAUGGUUUACACAAAUACCACAAUACAACACAACGCACACAACACAACAUAUCCUGUUAGCCAUUAGCAUAAUCAUGCACAUGUGAGAUAUGGACUCAAUUGGUAAAGCCUCAAAUCAUCUAGUCAAUCACUCAUCACAAAUAGACCAAGGCACAUCUCAACUUGAUCUCUCAAUCUCCCCCUUGAUAAGUGCAUUGACAAAAGAUGAUUUGAAAGCAAAAGAGAACUCAUUUAAAUGCCCAAAAAGCCAAGCAAAAGCAAACACAAGGCCACUUGAAAUGAGAAAGGAUCAUGCAAGCUCCAAACAAAAAACUCUUGAUUUUUAAAGAAAGCGCAAAGGUUAAAUACAACCGAAGAGUCAAGCAAGAGACAUAAAAGCUUGAAUCCCAAAAAUCGUCAAAGCCAUUUCAACAAUUGUCAAACGCUCAUCGCAAUCAAAUCAUGGUUCGUAUCAACUUGAUUUCUAAAUCUCCCCCUUGAUGAGUGUGUUGACAAUAUUCAAGCACAAAGAAAUGGUUUGAG